rnacentral:lncRNA from 1 species
UUUGUGUCUCAUUAUUUAAAUUUAGCAUAAACCUCUAUUAUACUCAUAUUCUACCAAGCUCCCUUGCCUCUUUAUUUUCAUCUAAUAUAUGCACAUACACAAAAACAAUUGUGUAGGUAGAAAAUAAAAAUAGCGUGAUUCUUGGAUCUUAUCUUUCAAAAUUCAUUUGAUCAAACGAGAUAUGAUAUUAUAUGCAAGUUGUUCUGUCAUUUCAAUAUUAUGAUUUUUAUACGUGAUUUAUUUCAUGAAAUGCUAAUUGAGCUACGGGUCCCAAUGAAAUGAAAUGUGAGAUCUCCUUCGAGUCUUCUCAAAUGUGCUAGAGCAUUCAAUUGAUCACCGAUCGCUCUUGAUGAAAUGAUGGUACAUAAUGUUAUGAAUUCAUGUUUUUAAAGUUAUCGUAUUGUAUUGGACACACGUAUCCGACUGAGUAUAAAUUAUUCACUCCAAUUUUAACAUUUCAGAUUAGAUUAGUCGACGGAAAUGGUGGCCGAGCAGUGCGCGGAUUGUCAAGUAAAGAAAAUUUUCAAUAAAAUAUUUAAAAAUAAUUUUGUUAAGAUAUUUUUUUUUUGUUUUUCUUUAAUUCCAUUUAACGCUCUAAAUUCUAUGACACUGUUAUUUUAUUUUCAAAUAAAUUAAGGGUUCUAAAUUUUCAAUUAAUUAUUUCCGCUUCAAGUAUGUUUAUGAAAUGAUAUCGAUAAUACCCCAAUAUUUAAGUCGAUAAAAUUCGGGGCGUUACAAAAUAUCCAUACAUCUCACUUUAUGAAACCUGAGAAAAAGAUAGUUUGCUUAGCACAAGUGAACGAAAUGGAACGGGAGUUGUGGAAAUAGUUUGUGAGGGUCUUCUGGAGUUCUUUAACGGCUCGGAGCAUUUGCCUCCCAGAUAUUAGGAAGAAGGGUUUAUGUGUUCUGAAGGGGUAGUGGAAAAUGGUGCGCAAGGGCGGUAAAUGAAAAUAUGGAGGUGGAUGGAUUUAGCUCCAAUCAUGCGAAAGGCUAAACUCAAGAGAAUGUAUAUUUUGACCCUAAUUUCUCUUAGAACAACCAUAAUGGCUUUGAAUCUUUUAUGAGAUAAUUUUUGAGUUGUUAAGAAGGAUGAAGAUUUUUAUUAGAAAUGACAAUGGCUUGUGAAUGGAAAUAAAUCUUUUGUUCUCAGCGUGAUUAUAAACUGUUUUUGGAACCAUAUAUUCCUUGAUUGGAGUAAAUCUUAUAAUUGAAAAUUAGUCAAAUUUUCUGAUUUUCUUUUGGUUCAUUCAUUAUCAAGAAAAUGCACGAGUUCAUCGUGUUAUCUAGUUAAUUUUAUGGUGGAGGCCAUGUGGUGCCGGGCAUACACUGCUUCCUUCGUCAUGGGGAGCAAUUAAUAAUUUCUGAUUGAUUUAUAAUUAUUUUUUAAAAAUUUGGGACUAUGAUUAUAAUUAAUUCUUUAUUUUUUAUUUUUGUUUUAGUUGAAUGGAAGGGUAAAAUCGUCAAAACGGAUGAAAAUGACUUUUUG